AACGAACGCUGGCGGCAUGCCUAACACAUGCAAGUCGAACGAUGCCUUCGGGCAUAGUGGCGCACGGGUGCGUAACGCGUGGGAACCUGCCCUGGGGUACGGAAUAACUCCGGGAAACGUGAGCUAAUACCGUUUGUGUCCCCUGGGACAAGGAUUUAUCGCCAUGGGAUGGGCCCGCGUAGGAUUAGCUUGUUGGUGGGGUAACGGCCUACCAAGGCUACGAUCCUUAGCUGGUCUGAGAGGAUGAUCAGCCACACUGGGACUGAGACACGGCCCAGACUCCUACGGGAGGCAGCAGUGGGGAAUAUUGGACAAUGGGCGCAAGCCUGAUCCAGCAAUGCCGCGUGAGUGAUGAAGGCCUUCGGGUUGUAAAGCUCUUUCGCACGCGACGAUGAUGACGGUAGCGGGAGAAGAAGCCCCGGCUAACUUCGUG
rnacentral:rRNA from 1 species